rnacentral:tRNA from 1 species
GGAGGGAGUCCGGGUGGUGAGGAAGCUGUCUUGAAAACAGUGGCCCCUUUGGGGUUGCGGGUUCGAAUCCUGUUCCCUCCG